UUUACAUCACAACCAUUAAUUUCUAGUUUCGGAAACUUAUUUCACUCGCUUUCGAACUCGUUUCCAAAAAGGAAAAGGCAUAACAUUGUUUCAUGUAGUCAUAUCGAUAAUAGGAAUCACGACAUAAUAUCAAAUGUAAUGAUUACGAAAUGUAAUGAUUGAAAAAAUGGUCUCGGGCAGUGCCAAAUCUCUGCGCAACAACAGCAAUAUAAGGAAGAGAAGCAGUAUUUGACAGAGAAAUGACUGAAACGAGCGUACAACUGUGCCUAAAACCCCACUCUAUAUAAAAUCUAAAUUUGGUUUCGGAAAUAAACUACGAAUAAAACGACAAUCAGUAUAUCGUGCAUACAUCAAAACAAGUUUUGCCAUGUUUGGCGAAAAACAAAAUUCAAUUCUUCGCUAUCCAUUUUUUCGUUCGUUUUAAACAAUCAAAAUGAGUCAAGGCAAUGGGAACUUAGCCAUUGCGUAACAUAGUAAUACAGUUAGUAUGUUACACAAAAAAAACUAGCUCUAGCGUUAAAGGAACUAGGCGAUUUAAAUACAGUGGUGAGUGCCUCUCAUUUGAGGGAGGAGCUAAGUAGAAACUUUCUGCAAGCUCAAUUCGCUUUGGAAGAAGUUGGCCACAGUGAAUUCAAAGGCGUUUUUUGCCCCGACUUCGUGAUCUUCAUCCGUUCGUCAAACUUCGUUGAAUGAAAAUUAAAACUUUUUGUUCGCAUCGCAGUUUUUCGCAAAGCGCAGUCGUCGGAAUUACCAAUACCGCAACUUUGUAGUACAUAUUAAGAUCGAUUAGAUUUCCUUACCAUGCCACUGUCAUCGACAACGACCCUGAACUAAGCAACAUUGAAAAACUUGAGUACCUUCAUGCUAUCUUGAAGAAUGCUGCUUUGGAUACAAUUGCAUCGUAUUGAAGAGAUUUUUGGUCUGAAAGGUGUUGCAAAGGCAGUUUUUAAUGACAAGUUUAAGGCUCAUAUGCGUGCGCUGCAAUCUACAUGCACAAAAGUUCAAAUUACGUAUGGACUCUUGUGCCACUUGAUUACGUCAAAGUUAGAUAUAUAAUCAUGAAUGAAAUGGGAAGAACGUUGGUCUAUGAAAUAAUUUCCAUCCUAGUGUUCUUGAACAACAGGCGCCAUAUGCUCGAAAAUUGGAAACGCUUCUUCGUGUGGUUGAAUGUUUUUGUGACUUCUACCGCGCCAUGGCGUUCUUGCAUUUCUACGCAUCCCAUGAACACUCCAUUGCUAAUUAUUCUCGUUUUGGAAAUUUAUACCGAUCACCACGUCAUGAGGGGGAUAAAAGAAUGAAAUUGUGCAUCAAUUGCUUAAAAAAUGGAAAAAAUUGUAGAUCUGGUCAUUGCCCUCAAUGCCAAGCGAAGACUAUUCGUUAUUGAACUUUGACAAACCCCUCGUCAAGUCUCUUCCAGUCCGCACUUGUUACGUCAUUAUCAGCUUCAUAUGUUUUGUUCGCUACAGCAGCAAUCGUUACGCUUCAUUUGUACUUUGUCGUGUCAUUAAAUCAAUUUUAUUGAUGAUUAAAUCAGCUUCGACUAGGAACAAACAUAUCAUCUGUUACCAUUUUCAGCAUACGAGAUGGUGCUUUCGUUGCAGAUACAUUCGUCGGUAGCUUUUUACGAUCGGAAUAUGGAGAUCAUUGAACUUCAAUAUCAGCUGUUGUCGUGCCAGCUGUAACAGCUUAUCAUCCAAGUAUCAGUUCUAACGCAAAACGUGCGGUUGGCAAAUCCUUACUUCACAAACUAGUCCGCACAGAUAUUUCGGUUGACGUUGGUUCACUGUUUUGAUGAGUGUUGGUCAAAUUCGCCAGGCCAGAAAUUUGCAAGAAAGCCUAGUCGGAUGAGUGGCCUUUUAAAUUCAUGGUCAUUAGCAACAAGCGUCAACCCUAUUGAGAGUGGAGAACAUAAAUUGGGUAGCCUUCUGAGUUCUUUCUGAGAAAUUGAAGAUAAGUGUAAUAAAUUUCGUUCUACGAACGAUGAAGAUAUCGUUUGUGGGCGACCCUUUCAACGAUCAACAAUUCGUUUUGGAAAAGAAACUAAGAAAACAUCCAGAAAUCACAACACAACACACACCUCCAUGAACGAUUACACAGAAUUGAAUUAUAUCUCGCUUGUCACCUCCCCACCAAGAGUCAACAGCUGUUACAUAACGACCCAUUGUAUGCAUACACAAUAUAGCACAACAACAAAACUCUUUUUCGAAAAUCUCAUCAGGUUGUUCAUUAAUAAUAUACUUUAUUCCGAUCCGACAUUCCAAUCAAACCCAUUUAAUACAAUUUCAUGUUUUCGAUUCUUUCAGGGAGCUUUGAACAGUGAUGUUAGCAAAAUGCAUCGGUGUUUAAAGGUUUCCUGUCCAAGCAAUUCAAAACAAAAUCAAAGCUUAUGUGUGUAUGUAUGGAUUUUGAUAUGACUUUAUUAAUGCUAAAAGCAUUAUAUGGAUGUUUAUUAAAAAGUAAUACGAACCCACGAGUAAUUAAAUAUAAAGAAAUAAUAAUAAAAAAAGUAAGCAAAAGGUUUGACGACUGUACUAUUUUACAACUUGACUCUUCCUAAAGACUGCGCGACGUUACUCGUCGACUGCCAAUUAGCGAUUGAUGCUUGUUUCUCUCUGUUUCUCUCCAGCGAUAUUUUGCACGCUUUAUUCUUCGUUUAUUCUUUGAGCUCUCACUGCUUAUUACUACGCUACGUAUCUACUCCUUACAUGUAUAGUCACCAAGAAUUAAUUAAAUAAUACAUCUUGGCAAAAACCUUUGUAUACAUAAUCGUCUGUGUACAAACAUAAAAGAUAACAAAGCAUUCUAAGCUAAAAAAGAAAUAUGUAUAGAAUAUGUAUAUAAGCAAAAAAACAAUAAAGCAUAGUAUAUUAUAAUAAUUUUGAAUUUGAUGAGUCUUUUCAUAUAGGAAUCUUUAGUGUUGGUGUACAGUAAGUUUUCUACACUGUUCGGCUUCAAUGUGCUAAGUCGAUCUGCCUCUUGAAAAUGCCAAUUGAACUCGGCAUGGCGCAGUGCCUAACAUACCAGGCGGAUGGAACGCCUUUGAAUUUUUAGCGGAUUAAUACGCUUGUUGAAUUGCUUUUAGACAAUUGACUUUAAUGAAUUCUUAC